UCCACAAUGGUCCAGUGGCAGGAUAUCAAGUUUUCGCCUUGAGGGUCGGGGUUCAAUUCCCCGUUGUGGAA
rnacentral:tRNA from 1 species